rnacentral:misc_RNA from 1 species
GAUACAUCAUCCUGGUCUCUUGGUGUGACCAUUAAGUUUACUUUAAUAGGGGAUGUGUAAGGAUGAAGAAAAGGAACCUUUACUAGAGGAUGUGUAAGGAAUGGAGAAAAGGAAGCAAAGGAGUUGUCAGUAAGGUUGUUAAGGAGAUUUGUUUGUUAGUUGUAACUGACUUAAAUGAUUAGUAACUGGACUAUAAAAGGUGUGAGCUGGAGUUGUAAUGCCUUGUGAUUUGUUAAAUGAAAAUUCUGAAUCUCCCAAACUCGUAAUUUUCUCUCCAAAAUCUUCUUCUUCUCUUUCCUUUCCACCUGCUCAUUUUAUCUUCACUUUCCCUCUCUUUCUCUUACUUUCAUUCUCUCUAUUUUUCUCCAAACACCUUGUUUCUCAUAUAUGAGCUCUACUCUAACCUAAACGAGUGGAGUUUGUUCCCGAUGAUCCCAAGAUACAAGUCUUAUCAAAUGGUGUGGGCUAUCCUGUUUCUUAUGAUUGGCAUUUCCGUCCAAUUUGUAGCAUAUGGUUGAAAACACUAGAGUGAAUAUGUCAACCAAGGAAAAUGAUGUUGAAUGCUAUUGCUACUUCUCAGAUUGCUGUUUUCUGCAUCUUAUUGUUUACCUGCUUAUGUUUUACUCACCUUGGAUUUGGUAUUGAGACUGAAUUGUUCAAUUGUUUUGAAAAUUUAAUUUGCAUGAUCUGUUGGUCUUUGCCAUCCUUGCAACAGAUAUAUGAUCUUUCCAGUCUUAACUACUUUCACGUUUCUUGGAUGUAAGAGUUAUUCGAAACUAAACUUCAAUUAUAUUAACAUUUUUGGUUUUUGACAAUUUAAUAAUGACGCAUUAUGGUAUCUAAUUUUUCUGCCCUCAAAUUCUGAAUGGCUGCCAACUGAAAUAUUGCAGAAGUUGUGGCUUGCUGGAUUU